rnacentral:rRNA from 1 species
UACGUAGGGGGCAAGCGUUGUCCGGAUUUAUUGGGCGUAAAGAGCGUGUAGGCGGCCAGGUAGGUCCGUUGUGAAAACUCGAGGCUCAACCUCGAGACGCCGAUGGAAACCAUCUGGCUAGAGUCCGGAAGAGGAGAGUGGAAUUCCUGGUGUAGCGGUGGAAUGCGCAGAUAUCAGGAAGAACACCCGUGGCGAAGGCGGCUCUCUGGGACGGUACUGACGCUGAGACGCGAAAGCGUGGGGAGCGAACAGG